UGCUUUUAUACAGGAAGAAAAACUUUCUCGUGAGAGAGCUUGACGGUACUGUAAGAAUAAGGAUCGGCUAACUCCGUGCCAGCAGCCGCGGUAAUACGGAGGAUCCAAGCGUUAUCCGGAAUCAUUGGGUUUAAAGGGUCCGUAGGUGGACAGAUAAGUCAGAGGUGAAAUCCUGCAGCUCAACUGUAGAACUGCCUUUGAUACUGUUUGUCUUGAGUUAUUGUGAAGUGGUUAGAAUGUGUAGUGUAGCGGUGAAAUGCAUAGAUAUUACACAGAAUACCGAUUGCGAAGGCAGAUCACUAACAAUUAACUGACACUGAUGGACGAAAGCGUGGGUAGCGAACAGGAUUAGAUACCCUGGUAGUCCACGCCGUAAACGAUGGUCACUAGCUGUUUGGACUUCGGUCUGAGUGGCUAAGCGAAAGUGAUAAGUGACCCACCUGGGGAGUACGUUCGCAAGAAUGAAACUCAAAGGAAUUGACGGGGGCCCGCACAAGCGGUGGAGCAUGUGGUUUAAUUCGAUGAUACGCGAGGAACCUUACCAGGGCUUAAAUGUUAGGUGACAGAUCUAGAAAUAGAUUUUUCUUCGGACACUUAACAAGGUGCUGCAUGGUUGUCGUCAGCUCGUGCCGUGAGGUGUCAGGUUAAGUCCUAUAACGAGCGCAACCCCUGUUGUUAGUUGCCAGCGAGUAAUGUCGGGAACUCUAGCAAAACUGCCAGUGCAAACUGUGAGGAAGGUGGGGAUGACGUCAAAUCAUCACGGCCCUUACGUCCUGGGCUACACACGUGCUACAAUGGUAGGUACAGUGAGCAGCCAGUGCGCGAGCACGAGCAAAUCUACAAAACCUAUCUCAGUUCGGAUCGGAGUCUGCAACUCGACUCCGUGAAGCAUGGAAUCGCUAGUAAUCGGAUAUCAGCCAUGAUCCGGUGAAUAC
rnacentral:rRNA from 1 species